CCCGCCCCACAUCCCGGACGCGUCCGAGCGGGAGCUGCUCCGUGCCGAGUUCCUAUCCCGCAUGGAGCAGCGCUUCCUGGAGGGCCUGGACCCGGAAUUCGACUACAGCCAGGUUGAUGGCAACGCUGACCUGGAUGUGGGGCUCAUCUCGGAGCGGGAUGCUGAGGAGCGCUACUUCGAUGCCGAGGAGCCCAGCGCCGCCCCCCCCCUGCAAUAAAGGGGACCCCCCCCCCC